ACGACCAUACCUACCAGAAAAUACGGGAUCCCGUCCGCUCUCCCUUAGUCAAGCUGGUAAGGGGCGGAUUAGUAGUUGGGUCGGUGACGACCAGCGAAUCCCCUCUGUUGUAUGUU
rnacentral:rRNA from 1 species